GACGAACGCUGGCGGCGUGCCUAAUACAUGCAAGUAGAACGCUGAAGAGAGGAGCUUGCUCUUCUUGGAUGAGUUGCGAACGGGUGAGUAACGCGUAGGUAACCUGCCUGGUAGCGGGGGAUAACUAUUGGAAACGAUAGCUAAUACCGCAUAAUAGCAGUUAUUGCAUGAUAACUGUUUGAAAGGUGCAAAUGCAUCACUACCAGAUGGACCUGCGUUGUAUUAGCUAGUUGGUGGGGUAACGGCUCACCAAGGCGACGAUACAUAGCCGACCUGAGAGGGUGAUCGGCCACACUGGGACUGAGACACGGCCCAGACUCCUACGGGAGGCAGCAGUAGGGAAUCUUCGGCAAUGGACGGAAGUCUGACCGAGCAAUGCCGCGUGAGUGAAGAAGGUUUUCGGAUCGUAAAGCUCUGUUGUAAGAGAAGAACGAGUGUGAGAAGUGGAAAGUUAC
rnacentral:rRNA from 1 species